UUACACAGACACUCGAACCCAAUCUCCAAAUAUCUUGAGAAUUCUUAUUAGGCUUACGGAAGGGGAGGGAAUGUAGCAACUCUUUUUCAUUAUAUUUUACAAUGUCUAAAGAAGAAAUAUUCUGGUCCAUUGAACAAACUACUAAAAUUGAACAAAGCUAUUUUUAUGAAGUAUAUGGGCUGAUCCACCAUCUGCGCGAUGUGAACCGCGUAGAUUGUGGCAUGUAUGAAAGAAUACCAUGGGAAUAGGACUCCAAGUCUUCAAUGUUUAGACGCUUCUAGGUAGUCUCACGGAUAGAGAAGCAGUAGGAGAAAAGGACUGCAAGAGAGUUGAUCAAUCAAUUAAUUAGAUUGCCCAUCAUCAACCAUGUCUUAUUUACGGAAAAAAUCGAUAGAUUUUCUCAAGACCUUCGAUGUGCCGGCGAAGAAUCCGUCAGAGGACGCGCAGCGCCGAUGGCGGGAGGCCGUCGGCACGCUCGUCAAGAACCGGCGACGUCGCUUCCGCAUGGUCCCCGACCUCGACAAGCGAUCCCAGGCCGAGACGCAGCGCCGCAACAUCCAGGUUCGUCGAUUUGUCCAUCCGAUGAUACACCCUCGAUCUCGCCCACGUUCUUCUUCGCCGAGCUAAGAUCUACUGCCCUGCAACGCCAAUGCAUGCAUCAUGGCAUAUGGCUCUUGAUCUAAAAACUGAUUAAUCGGAUUAAUUUGUUGCAAUCAAUUUCCGAUCUGCAUGGACGACAGUUACGUGGAUCACACAUGUUUUAGAGCGAUCGAAAUUUGUUAGCGAUGGCUGCAAUAGAUGGAGAGAUUGACUGUAUUAGUAACCUCCGUGGUAGAAUUAAGCUGGCUUAAAUUCGCCUUGACCAGGCUUAAAUUUUCUCCUCUGAUGUUUGGUUGCAUCUCCAUAGGAAAAGCUUCGU
rnacentral:lncRNA from 1 species